rnacentral:rRNA from 1 species
UGCAUGUCUAAGUAUAAACAAAUCUAUACUGUGAAACUGCGAAUGGCUCAUUAUAUCAGUUAUAGUUUAUUUGAUGGUUCUUGCUACUUGGAUAACCGUAGUAAUUCUAGAGCUAAUACAUGCAUCAAACCUCGACUUUUUUGGAAGAUGUGUAUUUAUUAGAUGGAAACCAAUGCGGGGCCACCCGGAUUCAGGUGAUUCAUAAUAACUUUCGGAUCGAUCUUCGGAUCGAUGCAUCAUUCAAGUUUCUGCCCUAUCAGCUUUGGAUGGUAGGGUAUUGGCCUACCAUGGCUUUAACGGGUAACGGAGAAUUAUGCCUCGAUUCCGGAGAGGGACCUGAGAAACGGCUACCACAUCCAAGGAAGGCAGCAGGCGCGUAAAUUACCC